GUGGGGAAUAUUGGGCAAUGGGCGCAAGCCUGACCCAGCCAUGCCGCGUGAGUGAUGAAGGCCUUCGGGUCGUAAAGCUCUGUGGGGAGGGACGAAACCGGCUGCGGACAACACCCGCGGCUCUUGACGGUACCUCCUUAGCAAGCACCGGCUAACUCCGUGCCAGCAGCCGCGGUAAUACGGAGGGUGCAAACGUUGCUCGGAAUCAUUGGGCGUAAAGCGCACGUAGGCGGUCCAGCAAGUCGGAUGUGAAAGCCCUUGGCUCAACUGAGGAAGUGCAUUCGAAACUGCUGAACUUGAGUAUGGAAGAGGGUCUCGGAAUUCCCGGUGUAGAGGUGAAAUUCGUAGAUAUCGGGAGGAACACCAGCGGCGAAGGCGGAGACCUGGGCCAAUACUGACGCUGAGGUGCGAAAGCGUGGGGAGCAAACAGGAUUAGAAACCCGAGUAGUCC
rnacentral:rRNA from 1 species